GGGGAUCGUAAGACCUCGCGUUAUUGGAGCGGCCGAUGCCGGAUUAGCUAGUUGGUGAGGUAAGGGCUCACCAAGGCGACGAUCCGUAGCUGGUCUGAGAGGACGACCAGCCACACUGGGACUGAGACACGGCCCAGACUCCUACGGGAGGCAGCAGUGGGGAAUUUUGGACAAUGGGCGCAAGCCUGAUCCAGCCAUGCCGCGUGAGUGAAGAAGGCCUUCGGGUUGUAAAGCUCUUUCGCAAGGAAAGAAAACUUAUCUACUAAUACUAGGUGAGGUUGACGGUACCUUGAUAAGAAGCACCGGCUAACUACGUGCCAGCAGCCGCGGUAAUACGUAGGGUGCGAGCGUUAAUCGGAAUUA
rnacentral:rRNA from 1 species